CACACUGUAUAUACACUGUUUUAUUGAAUGAAGUUUAAAAUAAAAUUUUAGCUACACCCUGGAAUGAAAUAGGAAGUCAGAUAGCCUAAUAAUGCAUAUAGGCAGAAGCGAGCCCAUAUAUAUGGUGCGGAGCAUCGGCGCAGCCCCUUUCUCCGCCCCCCACCGCGCACCGCCCGACCAGCGACGGGAACCCACGCCGCCCCCUCUCCGCCCCGUGCAGUCGCUCCCCAGCUCCCGCGCCGCCGUUCCCUGCUAACCCCAUCCCCUUCGCCUCGCCUCGUGCUAAGAGAGCGCGGACCACUGCGGUGCCACGCCGACGCCUUCUGCCGGCCCCAGGUGGAUUCUGUCCGCAGACUCCUGGAGGUGCUGCUAUCUAGCCCCUUGAUCUGAGCUGAAAUUAGGUACGCUCAUGCCGUCUCCAUGGUCCAGGAGCUCUUCCGUUGCACGAAUCUUGGUUCAAUCUGUAGACGGGGGGAAGACGGGGGGUGCGGUUUGCUUAAGUGGCUGCGAUGCUAUGCUAAUGUGGAGAGAUGGGCAAAAAUGCCUUUUCCGGUCUCCUUUUGCUCUUGUGCAGGAGCUGAACCUGCCGGGCGAGCCGAUGUACGGCUCGCCGGUGUCCAAGGACCUCAACCUCCCGGUGCAGCCGCCCAUGGCCUCGUCCGGGCUGCUGAGGUACAGAUCGGCGCCCAGCACGGUGCUCGGCGACCUGUGCGAGGACUUCCUCUCUUCCGCGCCCCGCGCCGCCAGCCCUGACGCCGGCGCCGACAACGUCUUCUCCAGGUUCCUUGCUGACCACCACAUCCGGGACGACAAGCCGUCGCCGCUUGCCUCCGCCGCCGUCCACUUCCCGACUGAAACCGACACGGCCUCCCAGCAGCAGCAGCAGCAGAUGAUGUUCCACUCCCAGCAGCAGCAGGAGAUGGUGAGCGCCAAGUCCGGCCUUUACCGCACCGUGAACUCAGGCGUAGAAACCGCGGCCGCUGCUGGUGCCGGCGGGGCCAGCUCCAGUGACAACGCUAGCAACCUGAUUCGACAGAGCAGCUCCCCCGCCGGAUUCCUCGAUCAUUUGAACAUGGAGAACGGAUACGGGGCCAUGCUGAGGGCGGGCAUGGCCACGGCGGACUCCCUCGCAGGCGGCGGCAGCAGGCUAAAAGGGCAACUGAGCUUCUCGUCACGGCAGGGGUCAUUGAUGUCCCAGAUCUCAGAGAUGGACAGCGAGGAGGUCGGAGGGAGCAGCCCAGAGGCUUCCGGCGGCGGCGGCAGGGGGUACAUCCCUGGGUACCCAAUGGGCUCUGGGUGGGAGGACUCGUCGGCUCUCUUGUCAGACAAUUUGUCUGGCGUCAAACGCCCCCGGGACUCGUCGGAGCCUGGCCAGUGCAGAGCGGCCUUACGCACCAGUUCAGCGUGCCCAAGACGUCGUCCGAGAUGGCAACUAUUGAGAAAUUCCUCCAGUUCCAGGACGCCGUGCCUUGUAAGAUCCGUGCCAAGCGGGGGUGCGCCACUCAUCCACGCAGCAUCGCUGAGAGGGUGAGGAGAACAAAGAUCAGUGAGCGAAUCCGAAAGCUGCAAGAACUCGUUCCAAAUAUGGACAAGCAAACCAACACAUCUGACAUGCUGGAUUUGGCUGUCGACUACAUCAAGGAUCUCCAGAAGCAGGUUAAGGUACUAAAGGAGAGCCAAGAUAACUGCACCUGCUCAGCAAGCAAGAACCAGCAGCACUCCUGCUGAAACCGUAAUGCUCACUGUACAUGAAUGACCUCGAAAGCAUGUCCACUCGGGAAAGAAAAAGAUGUAAGACAGCUCUCAUGCAUGUUGUUUCAUGAGGUUUUGAACUGCAGCAGUUGAGAGGCUUUAUCUACCAGGCAGUGUAGCUUUUGUAUGAGCGAAGGGGGAUGAAGCAAUGGCAUCAUCAAGCAUUCAAGUGAUUGGGAGAAGGGUAAAAAAAGUGGGGAGAGAUAUAUAUACAGGAGAAACAACUGUAUAGUUUGGCUGUAGCUUUGCUAUAUAUACACACACGCACUACCCUUUCGGUAGAAAGUGGUUAAUUUACCUCUGUUUACUAGUAGCACCAGCUGUAAAUGUGCCGCAGAUAAACAGUGGAGAAGCUUGGAGGUGUUCAGUGCGAGCGAUAGUGUUUCAACUCUAUGAACAUAUCAUCGUUGGGUUAAUGGGCAUCAUCUACUGGGGUCUGGGGAUAGCCCUGCUUCCUCUCGGACCUCAGGCCUGAAGCUUGUAUGUUGUUCAGCUA